rnacentral:rRNA from 1 species
GAUGAACGCUAGCGGGAGGCCUAACACAUGCAAGCCGAGCGGGAUUUGUUGGUUAGCUUGCUAACUAACGAUGAGAGCGGCGUACGGGUGCGGAACAUGUGUGCAAUCUACCCUUAUCAAGGGGAUAGCCCGGAGAAAUCCGGAUUAAUACCCUAUAACAUAUGGGAUGGCAUCAUUUCAUAUUAAAAGCUACGGUGGAUAAGGAUGAGCACGCACAAGAUUAGCUAGUUGGUAAGGUAACGGCUUACCAAGGCGACGAUCUUUAGGGGGCCUGAGAGGGUGAUCCCCCACACUGGGACUGAGACACGGCCCAG